rnacentral:tRNA from 1 species
GGAGAUUUAGCUCAGUGGUAGAGUGCUUGCCUAGCAAGCACAAGGCCCUGGGUUCGGUCCUCAGCUCCG